rnacentral:tRNA from 4 species
GCGGGUGUGGCGGAAUGGUAGACGCACCAGAUUUAGGUUCUGGCGCCGCAAGGCGUGGAGGUUCGAGUCCUCUCACCCGCACCA